GUGAACUCGAAGAGUAGGGCGGGACACGUGGUAUCCUGUCUGAAUAUGGGGGGACCAUCCUCCAAGGCUAAAUACUCCUGACUGACCGAUAGUGAACCAGUACCGUGAGGGAAAGGCGAAAAGAACCCCGGCGAGGGGAGUGAAAAAGAACCUGAAACCGUGUACGUACAAGCAGUGGGAGCACCUUCGGGUGUGACUGCGUACCUUUUGUAUAAUGGGUCAGCGACUUAUAUUCUGUAGCAAGGUUAACCGUAUAGGGGAGCCGAAGGGAAACCGAGUCUUAACUGGGCGUUAAGUUGCAGGGUAUAGACCCGAAACCCGGUGAUCUAGCCAUGGGCAGGUUGAAGGUUGGGUAACACUAACUGGAGGACCGAACCGACUAAUGUUGAAAAAUUAGCGGAUGACUUGUGGCUGGGGGUGAAAGGCCAAUCAAACCGGGAGAUAGCUGGUUCUCCCCGAAAGCUAUUUAGGUAGCGCCUCGUGAAUUCAUCUUCGGGGGUAGAGCACUGUUUCGGCUAGGGGGUCAUCCCGACUUACCAACCCGAUGCAAACUGCGAAUACCGAAGAAUGUUAUCACGGGAGACACACGGCGGGUGCUAACGUCCGUCGUGAAGAGGGAAACAACCCAGACCGCCAGCUAAGGUCCCAAAGUCAUGGUUAAGUGGGAAACGAUGUGGGAAGGCACAGACAGCCAGGAUGUUGGCUUAGAAGCAGCCAUCAUUUAAAGAAAGCGUAAUAGCUCACUGGUCGAGUCGGCCUGCGCGGAAGAUGUAACGGGGCUAAACCAUGCACCGAAGCUGCGGCAGCGACACUAUGUGUUGUUGGGUAGGGGAGCGUUCUGUAAGCCGUUGAAGGUGGCCUGUGAGGGUUGCUGGAGGUAUCAGAAGUGCGAAUGCUGACAUAAGUAACGAUAAUGCGGGUGAAAAACCCGCACGCCGGAAGACCAAGGGUUCCUGUCCAACGUUAAUCGGGGCAGGGUGAGUCGACCCCUAAGGCGAGGCCGAAAGGCGUAGUCGAUGGGAAACAGGUUAAUAUUCCUGUACUUGGUGUUACUGCGAAGGGGGGACGGAGAAGGCUAUGUUGGCCGGGCGACGGUUGUCCCGGUUUAAGCAUGUAGGCGGAGGUUCCAGGUAAAUCCGGUACCUUUUAACGCUGAGGUGUGAUGACGAGGCACUACGGUGCUGAAGUGACAAAUGCCCUGCUUCCAGGAAAAGCCUCUAAGCAUCAGGUAACACGAAAUCGUACCCCAAACCGACACAGGUGGUCAGGUAGAGAAUACCAAGGCGCUUGAGAGAACUCGGGUGAAGGAACUAGGCAAAAUGGUGCCGUAACUUCGGGAGAAGGCACGCUGAUAGGUAGGUGAAGUGAUUUACUCAUGGAGCUGAAAUCAGUCGAAGAUACCAGCUGGCUGCAACUGUUUAUUAAAAACACAGCACUGUGCAAACACGAAAGUGGACGUAUACGGUGUGACGCCUGCCCGGUGCCGGAAGGUUAAUUGAUGGGGUUAUCCGUAAGGAGAAGCUCUUGAUCGAAGCCCCGGUAAACGGCGGCCGUAACUAUAACGGUCCUAAGGUAGCGAAAUUCCUUGUCGGGUAAGUUCCGACCUGCACGAAUGGCGUAAUGAUGGCCAGGCUGUCUCCACCCGAGACUCAGUGAAAUUGAACUCGCUGUGAAGAUGCAGUGUACCCGCGGCAAGACGGAAAGACCCCGUGAACCUUUACUAUAGCUUGACACUGAACACUGGUCCUUGAUGUGUAGGAUAGGUGGGAGGCUUUGAAGUGUGGACGCCAGUCUGCAUGGAGCC
rnacentral:rRNA from 1 species